AACGCGUGGGUGACGUACCUUUGUGACGGGGACAGCUCCUAGAAAUAGGAGAUAAUACCGGAUACGCUGCAGCAUGUCAGAGGUGCUGCAGGAAAGGAUCUUUUGAUUCGCACAGAGAGCGGCCCGCGUACUAUUAGCUAGUUGGUGAGGUAACGGCCCACCAAGGCGACGAUAGUUACCCGGCCUAAGAGGGUGAUCGGGCACAUUGGGACUGAGAUACGGCCCAGACUCCUACGGGAGGCAGCAGCUAAGAAUAUUCCGCAAUGGACGAAAGUCUGACGGAGCGACGCCGCGUGGAUGAUGAAGGCCGGAAGGUUGUAAAAUCCUUUUAUGACUGAGGAAUAAGGGAAGUGAGAGAAACGCUUCCUGGUGACUGUAGGUCAUGAAUAAGCAACGGCUAAUUACGUGCCAGCAGCCGCGGUAACACGUAAGUUGCGAGCGUUGUUCGGAAUUAUUGGGCGUAAAGGGCAUGUAGGCGGUUCUGCAAGUCUGGUGUGAAAUACCGGGGCUCAACCCCGGAACUGCGUUGGAAACUGCAGGACUUGAAUCGCUGAGGGGCAGCCAGAAUUCCAGGUGUAGGGGUGAAAUCUGUAGAUAUCUGGAAGAAUACCAAUGGCGAA
rnacentral:rRNA from 1 species